rnacentral:rRNA from 1 species
GGAGGGUGCAAGCGUUAAUCGGAAUUACUGGGCGUAAAGUGCACGCAGGCGGUCUGUCAAGUCGGAUGUGAAAUCCCCGGGCUCAACCUGGGAACUGCAUUCGAAACUGGCAGGCUAGAGUCUUGUAGAGGGGGUAGAAUUCCAGGUGUAGCGGUGAAAUGCGUAGAGAUCUGGAGGAAUACCGGUGGCGAAGGCGGCCCCCUGGACAAAGACUGACGCUCAGGUGCGAAAGCGUGGGAGCAACAGGAUUAGAUACCCUGGUAGUCCACGCCGUAAACGAUGUCGACUUGGAGGUUGUGCCCUUGAGGCGUGGCUUCCGGAGCUAACGCGUUAAGUCGACCGCCUGGGGAGUACGGCCGCAAGGUUA